AGCAAAUACUGGAAGUUCCUGUGUCUUCCCCAGUCGUCUCUUGGGUAGUUGGGCGGUCUUCAGGAUAGUAAUGAGGGCCACUAAAGAUCGAGGGCCACUAAUGAGGGCCACUGCAGGGCUGCAAAUAAAUAUUUGACUUGACAGGACAUUUGUCCGAUCACUUUUAAUUUUGGUUGGACAUAACUUGAAUUUGGUCGGACAAAAACCAACAUCACUAAAUUUCGUCGGACAUAUAUACGUCACAAGAUAUAUAUAAGUCACGAGACAAGUAUGUAUAGCCAUUCCGGCGCAACGUUAAGUAAAAUGCUAGAAUGCCUUUUUUGCAAAAUGCAAAUUUGCAAUCGGAUUUUGUCACAGCAAAAAAAUGUAUAAUGUGACAAUUUUUUUUGUGAUCGGACCAAUGUCCGAUCAAAAUUACUUUUGCUCGGACAUUUGCC